ACUGGUCCUCACCUGGUCCCUUUCAGAACUCCGGACAGCGAGCGGUUCUCAGAAUGUGAUCUCCUCAGAAGGAGGAAGAUGAGAAGGCAGGAGGAAGUCCCACCUGGCCAAGAACCCAGGCUUGCACAAGCAAUGCCUUUCCGGGCAGUGGAGAGCCCCCAGCCAGUCUGCUGUCACCUCCUUGCAAAGCAGUAGCUGAGUGAGGGAGCUCCUUUUGCUUUUGGAAGGGACGAGGCUGAGACUGAGACUUCUCGGGGCCUGCGGAUGCGGAUGUCCUGCCAGCAACCCUCCCUGAUGGCAGAAAACAUGUCACACGAUAACCGCCCACGGUCAGAAUCGCAAAUCCGUGGGGAUCGUCCACCAGCACCACCUGGCCUCACACAUGAGUAAACUGAAGCGCAGGGAUUGAGCCGGGGAAGGGGCCGCAGCACUGGGCGCCCCACAGCCACAAACUCCCCAUGGGACUUGGCACACGCCAUUGUCUGGUCUGCCUCAGUUUUCUCAGAUAAAGAGUCAUUUUGAUAUGAAUUAAGAUCAACGCCUUACGUUCUGGGAUCGAGCCCCACAUCAGGUUCCUCCACUGGGAGCCUGCUUCUUCCCCUCCCACUUCCCCUGCCUGUGUUCCCUCUCUCGCUGGCUGUCUCUCUCUCUGUCAAAUAAAUAAAUAAAAUCUUAAAAAAAA
rnacentral:lncRNA from 1 species